UAUUGUCAUUUCGACAAAAUAGUAGUGCAGUACAUAUUGAAAUGAAACAUUUCUCCAGAAAUAUGGUUAUACGGACACUGGGUUAUAACAACAAAAAUCUAAGAACUAAAAAAUACAUUCAUAUAAAGUUUCUUAAAGUCUUAAGAUUAAAAUAUUUGUUAUAUGGUACAUUGUUGUCUUGUCUGCACUGCAUUACAUCUACAGUAUAGGAUGAUAUACCUGUGGGCUGUUUUUAUUUAUAGUUUUGUUUAUAAUGUUUUGCUUCAGCGUUUAAUGCUUCAUCUUGUAAGCUUUGUGAAGAGGGCUGGACAGCAUACGGUGGAAAGUGUUAUUUCUUCUCUUCUGAAAAGAUGACUUGGUUUGAGGCUCAUAAUUUCUGUAUACAUUGAAAGCUCAUCUGGUCACCAUCAACAGCAAAGCUGUACAUGAUUUCCUGGUGUCUAAAAUUAAAGAGACUCACUGGAUCGGUCUUAAUGAUCUGAAGACUGAAGGUCGAUCGUCAUUCAUGGGUUUGGGUGAAUGAUCAAAGUCUUGAAGAAACCGGAGUAAAGUUCCGGUUCAGUAACCAGCCGGAUAACUGGACUGGAGAUAAUCCAUCUGGAGAGGACUGUGUCUGUCUGGGAUUUAACCGUGAAUUUUUAAACUCUUGGUUUGACACAUCUUGCGAAUACAAGAAAAAGUUCAUCUGUGAAAUAAAGUUCAUUGCACUUUAGUGAUGACUAUAGUGACAGUUUCUAUCUUAUAUUGAGGAUCUUUACACGUCUCUCUGUAUUGUGCAUUUAAAUCGUAUUAAAUAAA